rnacentral:lncRNA from 1 species
CAAAUCAGAAAACCCUAAUCUCAGCAGCAAACGAAGAAGAGUUUCACCAAAUUGAGGCAAAAGGUAACACCUUUUUCCCUAAGGUUGGUUGACUCGAGGAACAUGCAGUAGAGGAACAGAGCAUCGAAGAGGAAGAAAUCAAAGCGUGGUAGCAAUCUGAAAGGGUGUUGGGGAUUGCAUGCAGCAUCGGAAGCUAUGGAAUGCAGAUGCUAAACAUGGUAAUCGAGAAAGACAAGGUUUUUAUAGAAACGCUUGCGAAGAAGAUACUGAAAGCUACGAUCUUUGGGAAAGGGUAGAACGAGUUUGAGCUUGGUAAGGAUCAGAUCUAAGCAAGGGAGAUUCGGGUUUUUCUGGAAAGAAGGAUGAAACUAUAUGAUAAGUUCAGAGAGAUUUACAAAGCGGACCUAGACUCUGCGUCUGUGUGAGACUCUCUCUCUCUCUCUUGUUAUGUGUCUCUUUUGUUUCGCGCAGGAUGAGAGAAAAAGGAGAAGAGAGAAAAAGGAGAAGAGAGAACCUUUUGAUUGAGAAAGUGACACUCUGAUACUGUGGCAAAUCCGCCCUCUCUGGGAACUUUCAAUGCCUUUCUUUUGCUUUUUUAGAGUGCCCCUCGGUAGAUAAUUAAGUUAAUAACGAUGGCCUUAAUAAGAAAGAGAGUUCUUUUUUAUUUUAUUUUUAGAGUAACUGUAAUUAGUGGCUAGUAAUUACUUUAAUGAAGGUGGAUAUCGAGUUUAUUCCAUCGGACUAAUCACUGCUACAUGUGCUCGACGAGACUUCAAUCAAUUCGGUUUUUAAUAGUAGUACUAGAUUUAGUUUAGAUUUUCAAAUCCAUUAAAAUACAACAACCAAUAACUCUUACACUAUAAACUUAAACUAUGUGUAUAAGUUUAUAGUGAAUUUUUAUUAUAACUAUCAUAAAUGAAUACAGCCGAAAAUAACCCCAUCAUUUAUGUUUAAAGAUAUUUUUUCCAGACACUUAUUUUAUUUUAUUUAUUAUUAUAACUAAAGUAGAAUGGAAAUUUAAACUAUAAAAAGUAAAAUAUAUAUAAAUCAAAUUAACCAUAUAAUCUAUUAAAAAUAAUAAAAUUAAAAUUGUGGAAGUUCGGGUUAUAUUCAACUGAGGGUAAAAAAUAUAUUUCUAAAUGUUCACUAAAAUUUAAAUAGUUUCUGCUUAGCAAUAAUAUAAACUGUUAAUAUUUUUUUUUUAAAUUAUCUUUCCAGUAAAAGAAAAAAAAGCUAUCCUUGUCCUAUAUAUAUAUUUGCAUCUUUCUCUUUGUAAGCGGCGACUUAGCUCUCUUUACGUUUUCUCGAACAUUAUUUAUCAAUCCCACUUUCUCGAGAAUCUGCGAGCAUUCCAAUCUGAGAAUCACACAAACAUAUAGAAUCAUAUAUGAUUGCUUCUUUGGCUACUCUUGAAAAUUCACAAUAAAACCAGUUUGGUAUGUGAGAAUAUAUAGAAUGUACUUGUUGACACAUACUGAGGAGCCGCAUAGCCAAAUAUACCCAUGACUCUUGUAAUAACAUAGCUUGUUUCUCCCUUUGGACAGUCUCUUGCUAAACCAAAGUCUGAUAGUUUUCUAUUGUAGUCAUAGAUUGUCAUAAAGAACCACGUCAAUACCAUUCUAAGUUCAUUAAGACAGCACUGAGACUUCGGAAAGAGGGUUAAUACCGAGUAUAUCAAGAUCUUAGAAGGUGUAUAUGACUUAAACAAGGUCGUAUGAAGAAAUGCAAGCUCUUUAGCUGCAUCAAGGCAACCUUAACACGUGUUAAGAAUCAAAAUAAGGGAAAAAAGAACUUUUAUAUACAGUUGAGAACUUCCUCAAAUUUCACAUGUGGUCCCUUUCUGCAUCUAUUAUAUAUUUCUGAUUCUGGCUCUUUAUGCAAAAUUUAAUGGAUUAACUUCAAGGCUUCAAGCAGUGGGUCAUUUACCUCGAGGAAGAACGGUUCUUCAGUACGAUCCCGGCGUCGCAUGGAGCAGUCAUGAGAUCCUGUAACGAAAGUCACCACGAUUGCUGACAGCGAAGCACCAAAUCUCUACGUGAUGUUUUUAACUACACAUAAUCUGCUUGAACAUAAUUAAAACAUAAGAACAAACAAUCGCCUGAUAGUUUCAAUAAAUUUUGAUUUAUGAACUUACUUGUGAACAAAUGAUCCUCAAGACUCCUUAUGCAUAAACUCGUACAAAAGAAGCAGUUGUUCAUCUUCCAAGCAAUAACCAAUCAGUUUAAAUAAGUUAGGGUGACUUAACUGCACCAAGUAGUUGAUCUCUACCAAAUGUCACAAACAGGUCAGAGAAUCAAACCAUGGAAACUUGAGAUUGGAGUGACAUAAUAGUAAACACAAUGUUGUGUGUACUAGACAUUAUCAAUGAUCUUGAAAUCCAUCAGGGUUAAACACUUGGACAUGAACUGCAAUACCUGUGAUGGAUCUAGUUGGAGUUAGAGUAGUCUCAUCGAUCGAACCUCUAGAGCAUAACAGAGUUUGAUCUGAAGUUUAUGGUUGGAAGUCUGAGUUCGUUGAAAGCUUUUGAAGAUCGCUUUCCAAAGUAUAUCUUCUUUCUCUUAUGAGAUCCCGAUGAUGAUGAUUGAACACUCGAAAGAUGAAGGUCUUAAAGCUACUGCUCUUAUCUGCAGACACAUACACAAAGGGUUGACUGAAGUCAGAACUACGGACAAUUGAAAAAGGUGGAAACUUUUUUACUUGGAUCACAUGAAGAUUCUCACAGAGUUCAUUUCUUUUCUCAGAACUUAACAUUUGCAGAGUGACGCUUGAAAUUAAAAAUCUCAAUAAUUUCUGGGAAAUUCUACAAUAAAAAUUAAAAAGGAGAGCUCAACACGAAAUCUGAGGCAAGAACCCAUUAAUAGAGAAUGGAAGUAAACGAAGACUACAUGCUUAAAGGGAGAAGCUUUCCCGCAUCUGACGAACUCCGACUACAAUGCCCGACUUUCAAGUGAGCGAGGAGGAUAACAGACUUUGCCAUUCUAAUCUGCGGAGGAGAGAGCAACAGCAGAUUUUUGCUUCUUCGGAAUGGCAGAUGAAACAGCACUCUUGCCGUUAGGUUUCGCCGCAAUCGCCGAGGCAGCAGUGGACUUCCCGUGUGGCUUCAUAGUCGUGGAGGAAGCGAACGUCUUCUGAUCGCUGGAGACUGAAGAGUUGCCUUUGGGUUCCAUGGAGAUAGUUAUCUGAGAGAAUCUUAUGGAUUUUAAUGGAAACAUAAACUAUGAAAAGAGAUUUAUAAAUAUAGAAACGAAGAGGAAGGUGAAAGGAAUCCAUUGAUUAAGUUCAAUAAAAUGAUUGAUUAGACCAGGUAGUGGUGAAACGGAUAUGAAGAAGAGUAAUGAAAGAGGUGGAAGGGGAAAGGCAAGAGAAGAAGAAGUUAGGACAGUCGGUGGAGAGGAAAAAAUGAUAGGGUAACGACUUUGGAGAGAUGUUGAUAUUAAUCUGAUGGUGAUGGCUUGCAAUUGAAUAUUUUAAAAAGCCCACUAAAUAAGACCAAUUUUAUGAUCCACACACAACGCAAAGACGAUGGUGACGUGGAAUAAUUAAGCUGUGGGAUUGGUUGUAAUUAACUGUCCUUCGUGGACAUCUUAGAAUGCUCUUAUAUCGGGCUUUUAGUAUUGUUUUGAUUUUUUGUGUCGGCAUCUAGUGUGAUCGCAAGGUUCGAGUCGUAAUUAAUUAGGGAAAAUUGAAAAAAUAGAACACUUUGAACUUUUAUUUGUCACACUAGGACUUCUGAUAUUUUGGGCACUUCUGGACGUAUUAUACCCUUCUUUUAUGGGAAAAUAGUAAAUUGAAUUUUAAAAAUGUCUAAAAAUAUGAAAACUAUUGGAAACAUAAGUAUGACAAUAUAUAUGUUUAAAAGUUUUUUUUUAAAGUAGAAUCAUAUUUUAUUUUAUCUUCUAACUACAGUUAGAAUACUCAUUCUGGUCAUCUACUUAGUCUAGAAAUUAGAUACUAAGUUUUAUACAUAGAUAUACCCUAGGUAUACAACGUAAACUAGCAUUUCUUAUAUAUUCUAACACACCUAUAUUUCGAAACGUUAUAAUCAAGAAAGAUGUCUUCAGUAUACCUACAGCUUGAUAACGACAUAUAGCCAUAACGCAGUGAUAUACAUUAUCUAUAUUUUGUGCCAUAACUUGUUCUGCAUUAUCUAUAUUUUGUGCCAUAACUUGUUCUGCAUUUUACCUUAUGUGGCGCUUAAGGAAGAAUAUGUUUUUCAUCUACUCUACUGUGUUUUGCGUAAGCUAUGAUAUAUAUUUUAGAGAAAUCCGGAAAAUAUGGAAACUUCCAUAUUCAGUUAAACAUAUUUCAUAAAUCUAAGCUAAAUAUUCCCUAAAUAUCUCAUAGAAUAUUUUUUCCCACGUUUUAAUUCUUCUCCCAUGAUCUUUUCUCUUCCUUCUUUGUGUUUCUCUCUUCUUCAUCGACAUCAUCUCUUUUCUCUAUCAAUACAACAUGGUUCUAAUCUAUGUUAAAUCUGGUGAAUGGAUGUCUAGUUGCAGUGAAGAGUGGAGUUUUGUGGUAGACAAAGAAAAACGGGGUCGGAUGGUAACAUUAGAAACCACUACUCCAUUGGAGAAGCUUAAGAUGAUGGUGUGUGAGGAUUAUGGGGUGGACCAUAAUGUUGUUAAUGCCGAGUUCAGUUAUUCAUUGUUGAACUCUUCAACAGGCUAGUCAUUAACAGUCAGAGGCUAAAACUCACAUGGGGAAGAUCUCAUGUCCCAAAACAUGGUCAAGAUGGCUGGAAGUACCAACAAGGCAAUGUGGCUCAGAGUGUUUUACUAACUCCACCAAUGCAGCAGCAAUAUUAUAUGCACCCAGCACCACUUAACCAAGACAAACUUUAUUACCCAUCAAUGGACCCGCAAUGGGUGGUUCAAGCACCUGCGAGAACAACAGAGCUUACCUGAUGCCUCCACGACAGCCAUAACUCUCCACCACCAUAUUGACAAAAUAUAUGUUGUUGAUCAUACUUAAAUAUGUUUUUUUUGGCGUUGAAAUAUCAGUUUAAACAGAGAAGAUCAAUCAUACCAUUUGAUUAGUUUCACUUUCAACAAGUUUCACUUUUUAUUUGCAGUAAUAAGAAACAAAAACAAACCAAAAAAUGUGAUUUUGCUCUAUACUAAAGUUGUUACAGCUUACAUGACUGUUUUUCCUUACUUGGAAGAUAAGAAACCAGAAACCAAGUUAACAUCAUCAUCAUCAUUAUCUUCACCAUCAUCAUCCUCCUCAGAAUCCAUAUCAGAAACCUGAUCCAAAAAUCUAUGGUGAUGAUGAUGAUGCGAGCUCCAAUCAGGUGGGAACGUCUUCUGUAAUGUCUCUGUGAGCUCACCACCAGAACCUUCGAUCUUGCACAGACAUUUAGACAAGUGAACCGCAGUUCCCAUAUCAACGGUCAAGCCUGCUUCCACCAUUGUCCUCGGUAAGCUUAGCCAAAAUAAAAUUACUUGCCCGAAUAUGCUCCUCCAAGGUUCCAGACUCAACCCAUAGUAGGUAUUGUAUUAUCCAGAGGUGAUAUUAUCUUAAUCCCAGCUUUAGACUCCUCAAUGAAUGACCUGUCACAAAAGAAAGGAAUGUUUUAACGGUUGGUCACAGCUGAAGUCAGUAUCCCCAAAACCAAAACCAAAAGAUGCAAUGCCAUAUAUAUAUUCUAGAACAUGACAAAAAAUUAGAUGUCCCAGACUAACACUAAUACUUCAAACUGAGUCAUCGCUAAUAUUAAGAAACCUCUUUGCACCUGUUAUAGGCUCUUUGACUUGCAUACAUUCUGGUAAAAAUACUUGCUCUCUUAAAUUUAAUCAGAGAAAAGUUGAGCAUGUAAACAAUGCACGAACAUGAUCAGAUACAUAUUAGAUGUUAGUGUUUCAGUGUGCUACAGUAAAUAGUGUUAAGGAAACAGGUCAUCGAAGCUCUGAGUCUCUAACAACCUCAUAGAGUUUACUGUGAAAAAUACAGAAUUAAAAAAACUUAAUCGAUGGUGGCACCACAAUCGAUCCCACACAUAACUAUAAACUUGAGAUUUUGAUGAAAUUGAUGUGAAGGGACCGUUAGACGAAACUCCUUGAGAACGAAGAAGACUGUCUGAUGAAAUCCGUAGAGGAAGAACAAAUCUCCAAUUUGUUGAGAUUCGUGUCUGAGAACAAAGAGGAGAAAGACAAAACCUAGAUUAAAUACGAAAAUAACAAUGAUUUCCGAUGAAAAAAACAAAAACUCUCCACUCACCCUAAAUCACCAUUGCCAUUGAUACAGGUCGAAGUAUGGCGGAGAAGAGGAGUAACGUCAGAAAAAAAAAUUAGGGAAAAUGACAUGAGUUUUUUUACCUCUUUGGAUUUUUUUUUUCUGUUUUUACUUUUUUUUUUUUUAUAAAAACUUAAAUUAAUUACGAAAUAUUAAAAUUAAUUUGGUUAAUUGAAGGGUAUAAUGGUAUUAAUGAGAAUAUAAAUCCUAUUUAUCUAAAUAAUCAUCUACAAGUCUUAUUGGGACAAAUUUAAGAUGAAAGUGUUCCAUUUUUCUAAUUUUUCCAAUUAAUUAACCCAAAUUUUGAUUACUUAACCUCGGACUGGAAGCACUUUCCGGAUAUCUAGAGAGGUAAUUGCAACAAACCAACAUCCUCACAUGUAAUGAGAGAAACACAGCUCAAAUUUCGCCAUAGCUCCAGAAUAUAUCUUGUGAAGCUUUUGUAGUCUUGGCUUGAUGGGAUCUUUUACAGCCUGCAUCACAAGACCUUGGAAUCACUCUCCGAACCAGAUCUUCCCAGAACCAAGACUAUCUAAGACAGUCAUUGCCCGUACAGCAGCAGCUUCAGCUUCCAAACUGGACAGGAGGUGAUUACAAAACGCUUCUUCCUAAAGAAGUAAACCGGAUCCCGGUUCACGCGUUUGGGUUUGGCGCUGACCAUGAUGCUUCUUUGAUGCAUUCCAUUGCUGAGAACUCUGGAGGGACGUUUUCUUUUAUAGAGUCUGAGACGGUUAUACAAGAUGCGUUUGCGCAGUGCAUUGGUGGUCUUCUCAGCGUGGUUGAGAUUGAGUGUGUUCAUCCUGUGUUGAGGAUUGGUUCGGUUAAAGCUGGAAGCUACCGGUUUGAUUCGAGUACGGGGACUACAGGAGUUGGUGAUCUCUACGCUGAGGAAGAGAGGAACUUCUUGGUGAAUCUUGAUGUUCCCGUUGUCAACGGCGUCGUUUCGGAUCCUAUGUCGUUGCUUAAGGUUAGAUGUGUUUAUAGAGAUCCGGUGACGAACGAGACUGUUGAUUUGAGUAGUUCUAGUGAAGUGAAGUGAAGAUUCUCAGACCGGUGGUGAUGUCGGAAGGGAGUGCUGUUGUCCUCAAAACUCUCUAAAGGAACAAUCUUUUUGGAUUUGAUCAGGCCAAGUUUUGUGUAAGAGGGAGGGAACUGAUGUAUAGGUAUUGCUCUGAACAUGGAAUCGCUCAUAGGAGGAUUGGUAAGCUUGUGGUUGCUACAGCAUCUUGGAACUCAGAAUGGGGUUUCGGGUUUAAGGAUGUUGGAAGGUUUUGAAGCAAUGAGGAUGGAGCCGGAGCUUCGUUGUGUUAAAGCAUUGCUGUCUCCUGAGUCUGGGAUAGUGGAUACACAUUCCUUCACGCUAUCUUUAGUGGUACUGUAUCAUCUCCUCUGUGCUUUGAUAUGAUCUUUGAGUUUAUGGAGUAGGAAAAGAGUUUUGAUUCCAUGAUGUACAGGGGUAACUAACUACAGGGACAAGCAGAGAACAGUCACGCAACGUUCUCAUACAAUACAGUGGUUUUAAGCGGUCGUGUUGAAGAAGAGAAGAUGCAUUUGUUUGUUGCUGAAACUGGAUCGUUUGAGUCUCGGUGUGAGGGAGUAGUAGCUGAGCUUGAGCUGAUACCUAACCUCGUUGUUAACUCCGCGGGGUUAGGUGCUCAAGCUCUGGCAAAGAGAUUCCAUGGGUUACGUCACCGGUUCAUUCCUUCGUCUCACUAUGCUCGUGGAUGUUACUUCACGCUGUCCGGUGCUAAGUCUCCUCCUUUUGAUAAACUUGUGUAUCCUAUACCUGAGGAAGGAGGUCUUGGUGUUCAUGUCACUGUUGAUUUGAAUGGGCUUGUGAAGUUUGGUCCUGAUGUUGAGUGGAUUGAAUGCAGAGACGACACAUCAAGCUUCCUCAACAAGUAAUGAUUGCGUCUGUCAUGAAACUCUCGUGUCUCUCUCUUGUCUAUUUUGAAGUUGCUCAAGAUCGAUCUUCUUCCUGCUGUUUGAAUCCAGGUUUGAUUAUGGUGUGAACCCACAGAGAGCUGAGAGAUUCUACCCAGAGAUCAGAAAGUAUUAUCCGGAUCUCAAAGAUGGAUCGUUGGAACCUGGUUGCUCAGGCAUCCGUCCCAAGAUUACCGGACCGGGACAGAAGGCAGCAGACUUUAUCAUACAGGUAAUCUUUUGUUCUCAAAAGCACUAGACAUAUAACUCUAACACGCUUGUGUUAUUGAUAUGCAGGGAGAGGAGACUCAUGGAGUUCCUGGUCUUGUGACUCUCUUUGGCAUCGAGUCGCCUGGUUUGACUUCAAGCUUGGCUAUUGCAGAACAUUUAGCCAACAAGUUCUUAUGAUGAAAGUGUAAGCUAAUGUCUACAUUUGAGAACAAAGCUGGCCCAUAAGUAUAAGGCUUGGCAAAUUCAAACAGUUUUCCUCUCUGUGAUUCAUUUUUCAGACUGUCAACAAAGUGAUAUUUUCAAUUCUUAUACUCCAGAAAAAGAUUGUUGUUGCAACUAAAAUAACUAAGAAUGUUCUUAAGAAACUUAACAGAAUUGCUCCAAGUCAAGAAUGUACAAAGAAACAAACUGUUUUCCUCUCUCUUUUUUUUUAUAAGCAAACCGACGCAGAUGCAGAAAAAAAAAAGUUUUUGAGAUCAGAAAGAAGCUGAGCUUGUCCUCCUCAGCUGCCUCUUGGGAUCAAGUGGUGGUGGUGCACUUGGGAGGAUCUUCUCUACCUCCUGCAAAGUAAAUAGAAAACAAACAAUGUAACGUAAACUAUCAAUUACAAGUUUGUCAUGAGUAAAAGAAAGAGUGUUGUAAUGUAUAUUGUAAUGAGCCAAACGACUCUUACAAGAAGCAAACAAACAACAAAGACUUGUUCUCUACUGUCUACUAUGCUUGUGCCCAAUUCCAUACUUAACUAAAUCUCCUAUCAUCUACCAUUCCCUCUAAUUCGAAUCCAAAAAAAUAAAUACAUGUUCAAUUUUAACACCAAUCACAAUCAAUGCAUGUAUAAACCAUAAGGGCCAAGGCUACAAAACAUUACCUUUUGCCUCCUGAGUCUUUCGUUUUCUUCUUCUAACCGUGAAACUUUGAUUUCUAGCUCAUGAGUGUAAGCCUGCUCAUCAGCACCCAGUAUAAGAUUGACUAGACUAAAAACAACACCACAUUUUGCAAUUACAGAAAGUUUGUUGUCACCUGUUUCCUAGCUCGAGAACGAGCUGCAGACUCUCUGUUCUUCACCUCCAUUCUUGGCCUGCUGAAUGUCUUUCCAGACCUCUUCAACUGUCUUUUUGCUUAGAUCCCGCGGCAAAGUCAAACUCCCCUGACGAGAGAGACCUUCAUGAGCUGCCAAGGAAGAUGGCUGAUUACCAUCAACAGAGCACACACUCUUGAGAAGCUCGUCAAGAUUCAUGCUUCCAAGCGCUUUACCAGAACUCCCCAAGUGGGUUUGGACCUCGUCGAGUGUUAAGCUAUAGAGAGAGCCUUGCCUAUUCAAAGACUGAUGAGAUCUAGGUUCCCUCUGAGAAUCCAUACCGCUUUUAAAAUAAAAACACAACACAGAUAGAUAAAACACGAUCCUGACCCCACAACAAAUCGGAAAACCCUAAUCUCAGCAGCAAACCAAGAAGAGUUUCAUCAAAUCGAAGCAAAAGGUAACACCUUUUCUUCCUAAGGUUGACUCGACGAACAUGCAGCAGAGGAACAGAGCAACGAGGAGGAAGAAAUCAACGCGUUGAAGCAAUCUGAAAGGGUAUUGGGGAUUGCAUGCAGCAUCGGAAGCUAUGGAAUGCAGAUGCUAAACAUGGUAAUCGAGAAAGACAAGGUUUUUAUAGAAACGCUUGCGAAGAAGAUACUGAAAGCUACAAUCUUUGGAAAAGGGUAGAACGAAUUUGAGCUUGGAAAGGAUCAGAUCUAAGCAAGGGAGAUUCGGGUUUUUCUGGAAAGAAGGAUGAAACUAUAUGAUAAGUUCAGAGAGAUUUACAAAGCGGACCUAGACUCUGUGUCUGUGUGAGGCUCUCUCUCUCUCUCU